UUUUGGACAAUGGGCGAAAGCCUGAUCCAGCAAUGCCGCGUGUGGGAAGAAGGCCUUCGGGUUGUAAACCACUUUUGUACGGAACGAAACGGUCUGCUUUAAUACAGUGGGCUAAUGACGGUACCGUAAGAAUAAGCACCGGCUAACUACGUGCCAGCAGCCGCGGUAAUACGUAGGGUGCGAGCGUUAAUCGGAAUUACUGGGCGUAAAGCGUGCGCAGGCGGUUAUAUAAGACAGUUGUGAAAUCCCCGGGCUCAACCUGGGAAUUGCAUCUGAGACUGUAUAGCUAGAGUACGGUAGAGGGGGAUGGAAUUCCGCGUGUAGCAGUGAAAUGCGUAGAUAUGCGGAGGAACACCGAUGGCGAAGGCAAUCCCCUGGACCUGUACUGACGCUCAUGCACGAAA
rnacentral:rRNA from 1 species